AUAUAUAGGCAUAUUACAUUGAAAAACGGGUCCUCUUCUGAUUACUAAAAUUAAGCAAUAUCAAACUUAGUUAGUAUUUAGAUGGGUGACUGCUUGAGAAGCGUAAAUAUUCUAAGCG
rnacentral:rRNA from 1 species